CUCUCUCUCUCUCUCUCUCUCUCCAACUGUUCAUUGAAUGCCCAAAGCAAAUAUCAUUCCCUUCUCUUCAGUUUAGUUCAGAGAACUCCAUGAAAGCGAAGCCCCUGGAACUGGGAUCUUCUUUCUUCCUCUCUUUAAUGCUUCACUUCCAUCUGUUAAAAAAUAGAAACCCAAAAGCUUUGCAUUUCUCAUACAUAUAUGUAUAAUUCUAUGCAGAUAUUGGCAUAUAUAUUUCGUAUUAUACACACACACGCGCGCACACAUAUAUAUAGCAUGCUUCUCGCUUUCUCUAUGUGUGUGUGUUGAUCUUCUUGCUCUUUGAAGUGCUAUCUGGAGAUUGAUUCGCUGAGAUCUUUGAGGUCGCUUUCCUAUCUCUGACUUUCAUGAAGACAGUGACGAGUCGUCUCCCCCUUAACCCAUAAAUACGCCCUUCCUCUUCUCGUAUUCUCUGCGACUUUUUGUUAUCUUCUUUUACUAAACCAUAAUAUCUUCUUCACCUUCUUUCUAAUUCCUUUCUUCUUCUUCCUGGGUUUUUUUUAUACACACACACACACACACACAUAUAUUUCCUUCUUUUUCCCUUCUUGUUGCUGUGAAAUGAAUUGACAUCGGAAAUUAUAUGCACGAAAACAUUUCCAGAUUUAGGGUUUGGAUUAUUACUCCAGGCACCAGUUAAGUUUUCUUUUUUCUUUUUCUUUCUUUUUUUUCUCUUUUCUGUAUUAUGUUGGCAAUAGGGAUUUCCUUUAUUUUCACUGUACCUCCAAUGGAUAGAUCAUGUCCCCUACUGCUGCUUUAUGGUUUUCUUUUUCUUUUUCUUUUCUGCAUAAUGUCGAUGUUUGCUUAUGAUAUGAUCUGUUCGUCACUGGAUGUUCUAGUUUCAAACAGUGUAAGGUGAAGUGGCAAAAGGGCAAUUUGCCUCGGCAUUUUCAAUCUUUUAUAUAGGGUCAGGGUUUGUGGAAGGUUCAUUUUGCUUAACUUUCUUUUUAUUCUUGAAUUGCCCAGUUGUUCUUGAGUUUUAGGUGUUUAUACCGGUAAUUGGUUGUCGGCAUACUUGAAACGCUUCACGUAUUGUGUUGAUGAAAUUCAUCCGUGCUAGUUUGGAUAAGAAAGGAAAGAUCGCCAAGAAAUUGACCGAAUAUUUGGGCAUUUCUGAGCCAUCUACAGACUAGGGUUCGGUUCUAGUUGCCUUGAUGAGUUUAAAGUUUUUCCUUCUCGGUGGAUUGAUUCUGAGAGUAUCAUAUUGUUUCAUUUCAUUUUUUCUUUCUUGUGUUGGAUCAUAUGAUUUUCCAGGGAAAAGGUUUUGAUCUGAAAGUAUUGUUUUUUCAUCUCCGUCAAACUGGAAUUGGGGCUAGCCAUAAGGUUGAAGCCCCAGUGAAUGUUUCUCUUUUACCAAUUUUUCCAGCUUACUACCUUAAAAAAUUCAAGCAUAAAACAUUAAUGCUUAUCGAAUUAUUAUGAUCACUUAAACAAUAAAGUGCGUGUUAAUUGAUCUAUUUGUAUUCUUAUUAUUUUUCUCAUUUAAUUUGUUUGGAUGAAAUUUGUUUUUUCCAUUAGGUAAAACAAGCAUAUGCUUGUGAUUAAUUUGUUGAAGCGAUUUUUUGGACAUUUCAUAAUGAUGUUGAAUUGAUUUUUUACCCAACUAAAUGAAUCGAGUAUUGCUUGAUAUUAUUCAUAUUGAAGUUGCAGGACAAACUACUCUUUCUGUUUCAUUUUCUAUUGUAGAAAGUCUCCAAUGGUUAACAUCUGAUAAAUUGUGUAAUUAGUGCUGCUUUUCAAACAGAAAUCUGUGGGUAAACUGUUAAUUUGUUUAUGGUUGCCUCUUAGAAAGCUAGCAAUCACUUUGUAUUGUAGUGAGUAAAUCGUAUAUUUUUUAUUUGGAAGAUCAAGCGAGAAGGAAAGAUUUUCAUUGUCUUUCAUUGAUGUGUGGAAUAGUGAGGGGAGUAAUUAAAUUCAUGAACUAUGUUGAGAAUGGUGUGAGGGAGCUUCCUUCAGCCCAUCCAUGGAUGAGACAAGGGGUCUGAAUUAGCUGCCGACUCAUUCAUUCAACCACUCAGUAGAAAGGAAACCGUGCUGGCUGGCUACUGUGAUUGUGUGAAUGAUGCGGGAGAUAAUUUCCAUUCUUCUCCCUCCGUGCUUGGACUGAAGGGAGCUCCCUCUUUCAAUCGACACUUCUUGCAAGAUCAUUCUUGUGAAUCUUUUGUCCCAAGAACUCUUCCUCGACCAGUUUACUAACUUUAUCUGUAUAAACUUUACGACAUUGUCAUUAAUUACUUGAAUCUUAUCUUCUAUACCUAAAACUUCAUAACAUUACAUUUCUCCUUCUUAAAAUUAAUUUCAGGCUCAUGACAUUGCGCAACCAUCGAGCCAUGCGCUGUUGGGAAAUGGCCCGUUUUGUAUGUGGCUUUUUUUCCUAACUUUGCUUGCUAAUACAUCUGCAUUUGGUGUCCUUAUAUUGAAGUUCCAAAAUUGUUGUGUUAACUAUGAUCCAGGUACUACUUCUUUCUCUGAAUUUCCUUUUAUUGCCUAUUUUUACCCUUUCUGGUGCCAUCCUAAUUUCAAUAGCUCUCUUUCCCAUGUUUCUGGGUGUAUUGUAUGUGAUUAUUGUCCUCUAAAUGCUUGGUGAAUAGGUAUUGUGACUGGAAUACAUCCUUCAACCUUAUCUCUUACAAUGAACUUGUCCUGCUGAAUACUUUCCCUCGUUCACCAUCUUUUCUUCUUCACGUCUAAAUCAGAUAGCCAGAUUUAUUCAUCUAUAGAGGCCUGAAUUUGUUCAUUACUGAAACCUCGUUAUGGCCUUUCUUCUUCUUUCUCUUCCUUCCUGUUUUCCCUAGAUACCCAACAAAGAACAUUAAGUUCUUCAUUUGUUUAGUGUACAUACAUCUUUACUCAAUUAAUUUGCGCAUGACCUAUACAUGCCAAAUGUGGUUUCUUUCCUCUGUAUGCUUGAAAAUCCCUUUUGAAUCUUCUUGUCCGAGUGUUGAAACUUGGAGAGCUAAAUGUUGCGUACUGCUUAUCAAUAAUUUGUUCCUUUCAUUCUCGAUGAGCAUUGUUCUUAAAUCCCUAACAGGUGCAGGUUCCCUUCUGUAUUCUGCAAACUUGGAGCAAAACUGAUAUAGAUUCACACAAUUUCUAGCUCCCAAAAGUGGCAAGUUGAAAAAGUAAGGCAGUGUUUGUUUAAUCAGAAAGUGGAGGGGUGUGUUCAUGGAAUUGUGAGAUUUUGCCAAAUAGGGAUGGGGGGACCUCUGCACUGGAGCUGCUGUUUGUGGCAAUGAGCUUGGGUUUCAAUUUUUUUAGGGUAUUUUAAGUGCAGGUUUGUACCUGGAAUCUUUCUCAUCGAUAAUGUCAAUGGGAUUCUCUUUUCCUGUGGUCCCAUAUUUUCUUUCUGGCGUGUGGCAGAUGGGAAAACUAUGCCAAGUUUUCCUUCCUUCUAGCUCUUUUGUCUUUGUCAAGCCGAAUCUUUUCCUAUAUUGUACUAGGACUUAUUGCAGCUUCCCUGGCGAUAAGAAUGUGUGUUAAUAUGUAAUUAAUUCACAUUAAGAUGUGAAUAUGUUUGUUUCUCUACUCAAAAUAAUGUAGUGUUGGUAUCAUUA